UGGAGAAACAUUCAAAGCGUACAGAAUUUGUUCAGACAAAGAAAUUUUGGAAAUCUACUAUAGUAUAGGGCAAUGGAGCAGCAUAUUGAGGAGAGUGCAAGCUCCGUGGCUGUGGGAGUGAUCAUUUAUUAAUAUGGGCUUGACUGUGGCCAGGAAAACACAUGUAAAUGGGCAUGUAUUUUGGGGGGCGGAAAUGAGAAGAAAGCUGAAAGGAAUAAGAAUGUAAAAGCAUGCAUCUAUUCAAGAAAAAAACAGGCGAGGGUGGAAAGAGCAGGAAGUGUAAAGCCCAGAGACAGAAGUAUACUUGGAAGAGCCAGCUUUGCCUGCUGUGGAUCAAGGAAGGAGGAAAACAUAGCCGUUUAAAUUACAUCCUCCAAGAUAACUCCAAACUUCCUGUCAAGAUGACCGGUUUUCACAAUAGAAGAAAAGGGAUCUCAAGUCACCAUUAAGGAAAAGGAUCUUUAUAUGAAUUCAUGAGCCUGAGCGCUGUGCUAGGAAAACUAGUUAAAAACCAAUACUGCAUGAUAUUAAACAGCUUGCUGAAGGUCUCAAGCUAGAAAUUCCAUGGCCUUUAGCCACCAACUAACGAAAGUAUUCAUAAAGUGUUUUCCAAUUCCCAAAUGACCUGGCUUCUUACAUAAAAACACCAAAAAAAAAAUGGAUUUAAUUCUAUGUGCAAAAGGAUUCGAGUACUGGAAUAGAAUACUGGUCAGAUCAAUAUUAUUUUUCAAGUUAAAAAAUAUUUACACUAAACUGAAAAGUCACCCUUAAUAGUCCACUUGAGAAAGGAAAGAGUCUGGUUUAGAUACUACAAAAAGCAACUGUCAUCAUCACUUCCUUUAUGCCAGCAAACUUGACUCCAUCUGUAGGUGAGAAAAAAUAUCUGGUUCAUCGCUCAUCCCCUACAUAUGCCAGGGUCAGUCCCACUCCUCUGGUUUCAACUCAAUUUUAUUUGUUGAUUUUGAGAAAAGUACUGAAUUUCUUCAUGUAAAUACUGUGCUAGGUGCUGAAGCAAACAAAGAUGAACUAGACAGGCUCUGAUAGGACAUAAUCUAUAAUUACAGUAAAAGCAGAAUCUGAAAAGUUCUAAUAGGUUUUGACUGCUUUCCUUCUCCAUAUGCAUAGUAAAUAACUGAUAUAAAGCAAGUGAUUCUAUGAACAGUUCACCAUUGACCAAAUAAGCUAUGAUCCUACUGAUUACCUAUGAUUCAUACUGUUACUUGACUUAGUAUGGUAACACCCUUCUCCAAUAGUGCAAUAUUCCAAACUCUGUAUGUCCUUCAAGAUUAAGUUGUACCUUCUCUUGACAUUAUUUCCUCAGUCACUAUCUAACUGAAUGAAAUAGAGAACUAUCUCUGAGUAA